GAGGCAGCAGGGGAGUUUCAGUCUGAAGAGUCAUCUGAUUAUGCAGCAGAGCCAUCCCCUGUAGCUACUUCUGGCUCCCCAGUCCCUGGUCCCUCCACUCCUGCUGCUGCACCCACAGGCCCACAGAGGAGGAAAGCUCAAAAGCGGCAGAGGGACGGGUCACAGGAUGGUCCAUCGGCGGUGGAGCUGGCCAUCCUGGAGUCGCUGAAGAGGCCACGCCCGUCUCCAACGGAGUAUUUCCUCCUCAGCCUUGCUCCUGCUCUGGAGAGCCUGCCGCCUCAGA